GCCUGGCUGGCUCAGUUGGUAGAGUGUGGGACUCUUGAUCCUAGGGUUGAGUUCAAGCCCCACGUUGGGCA
rnacentral:tRNA from 1 species